ACAUACGAAAUUGGAUACCAUAAAACAAAAAAAUAGCUACACAUAAAUUGAAUUGAUAGGACGUAAUAAUUUAUAAUAUGUAUAAUGAUUAAUUAUUUACACGUAGGAACACGGUCGUUUUCUAUGUCAGUGUUUUAGUCGAAUUUUAUUCGCAAAUUUAACAAGACCUUAUUUAUUAUGGUGACUACCACAAUCGAAAUUGUUGUAUACGUGGCCCAAUGUCAUUUAUCAUAUUUUUAAUUCGUUUUCAUUUGCCGCAUAUUAAUGGUGUUUGUGGUUUCGAAACGUGCCAAUUGGUUCCCGGGUUGUUGUUUCGAAGGGUAUAUACGAAUGGUUAAAUAGUUAUUACGAAGAGUAUGUCCGAAAUGGGUCCCAGAUUAAUUUAAAAGUAAUUUCAAUUUCCCUUCCUGUUUCAUACAGAUUUAUAAUUGUCUACACAUUAUUCGGGUAUGGUUAAAAAUUGUG